ensembl:lncRNA
GCUAUAUUUGUAAGAAAUAAAUUUAUGAAGAUGUGAAAAAAAUGAUCUUGUUUGAAUCGGGAGAGAAAUAUGCACGGAUCAAACAUGGUUCACAGAAACUGUUCAAAAUAAUAUAUACAUUUUUCAAAAUCUGUUCAGAUGAAGAAACAUCAUCAUCUACAUCUUGGAUGGCCCGAGGUACUUUAGGCUUAGGAGUUUCUUCACAACUGAACCCCAGGUUUUAUGAUCCAGGAUAGCGAUGCCGCCUUCGCAGGAGGAGGGAAAGAUGGAGCAUCCUUAUGGCAGGUCCAAUUUAUUAUGUCAUGUCUUAUAUUCAGUACACUUUUAUAUCUGUAUUUUGCUUCUCUAGAACAACAAUACACGAACUGUCACUAUGACUGACAAAUCAAUAAUGAGCAUGUUGUGUAUCUUACGGUGUAUUUUUUUAAUUUCUUCUCCGAAGCUGUAGGUUUCUUGCAUCUCAAGGACGGCGGGACACAGGCGGUCUUUUGUAUGCAGGUGUAAUGAGAGUCUCCCACACCCUGUUUCCCUAUCCAUCUCUUGCUUUGAGUUUGUGACUGGAAAACUAAGCAGAGAUUCACCUCAAAGGACAAUUAAAUUUCCCUUUAGAUGGCUUCAGUUAUAGAGGUUCCUCUCAGCCAAGGGCUUGCUUGCUUGGUAACUAAAUGGGAACGUAUACAAACUCUGUUUUUCCUCCCUCCCCGUCUCCAUUCACACAAUCUCUCUUUCUUUUCUGGCCAAGAGGUUCAAUGUGCCAUCUCCCAAAAGCAAUUGAGCAGCGCCGCAGCAAUACUGCCCAUAACUAGCCGGUAGGGAAAGCGUCCAGAAGAUAUAACAGUAGUCUAUCUUCCCGCUGGGCACCAGAGUUUUAUUAAAAUUAAGGUUAAAAGUCCAGUCAUUUCGAAGAUGGCUGGAAACUCAAAUUAAAUUGACCAAAGGGGAUUCAAUUACAAAAAAAAGAACAAAAAUUCCAUGACACUACCAAGUUUUGGAUUAGAAAGUG